CCGCGGCUUCAGUGGACCUCCCGCAGGCAUGCCUGCGGAGGUCCGCUGGUCCCACGGCUUAUGCUUGGGGCGGCAAAAUCCCUAGAGCCGCCCCUGGGUGAAAGGGGGAUGAGGAAGUGCAGUGACUGACAUCAGAUAGUGAAUUGGGGACCUCCAAAGCUAAAAGCAUGAAUUUCCACAGUUUGACCUAACCAACCAGGCCCUGUAGCAGACUCCUGUCCUCUGUGGAUCAAGGCACAGGGGAUACAUAACACACUAGUGAGUGAGAUUUCUUUGUUUCCCUGCAGAAAAAAAACUUUCUGACAAGGAGCCGCAAGAGUGGUCAAGCACCCCUCUCCAACAGUACUGGCACAUUAUUUCAGGCUCCCGGAGCAGCCAGCAAAGAGCAGGACACCCCAAGACACCCUUGAUCUCCCUGCCUAUCACAUUCAUUGCACCUGAAGAGGCAAAGGAAGCAGCUUUUGGAUUCUGGGCAAGGGGUCCUGACCUGAAGAGUUUGGUCAGUAAGACUGCUGAAAGCAUGUGAGACUGUCCGGAUUGGCCAAUGUACAUAGCAGAAGGGCAUUGCUGGCACAUGACAGAUUUAAGUGAAGAUGGAGUGAGGAUUUAACAGUCUGCAAAUAUCUGAAAGGUGACAACAGCAAGGAGGGAAAUGGACAAUUUAUGGUGGUAAACAGGAUUGCAGCUGGAAGGAAAGGGAUAGAAUUAACAGCAGGACAGUUAUAUCAGGGAUACAUCUCACUCACAGAAAGUUAUUAGGCUGUGCACUUGCCUCCUAAGGGAAAGGAUGGAAAGCCCUAUUACUUGGGAUGUUAAAAACUAGUGGAGAAACCAUUAUUAAUUUUACAAUAGGUUACAAUUCUGCAUUGGUGCCUAGAGGAAGGGAUAGACUAAAUGACCUAAAAGUGCUUUUCUGUCUCUAACAAUCUUAUUGUUAUUGUAGAGAAAAAUACUGUAAAAUAACCCUGAAAAAGGUCAUUGAGCUCCUGGCUACUCUUUGUCAUGCUAGGGAGUGGACAUGCUGGGGGUGAAUUACAACUUCACCCAUCUUUUGUUUAAAAAGGAAAAUAAAAACUCUUCUCUCCCCGCCCCCCAAGUUAUUGUUUCUAGUGGCUAAAUCCUGAUAUUACCAAACCUGUUGAAUGUGCAUUUGGUAGAUUGAGGGGGUGCUGGAGAAGUCUAAUAAGAAGGCUUGAUUUCUUGGGCUAAAUAUUCCUAUUGUUGUUGCUUCAUGUUGUAUCUUACAUGAUAUUUGUAAAGUAAACAGGGAGAUUUUACCAGACUGUUGGCUGAUUUUGAACAGCCAGACACAAGUGAGGUGCUAUACAGCUGAGGGAGGCCUUGGGAGCACAUUUUGACAGAGCACCAUAAUUGCAUAAUGUGCUGGUUUGUUUUUAUGUGUCACAUCAUGAUAAAACUGUAAUGUGCUUGUGUAUGAACCAUAACUGAAUUGCCAGCAUACUCUAUGAAUCUUCAGAGGGAAUACUGAUUUGGGGGGCUGUUUUGUGAAUCAACAGAAGUACAUUUUAGAGAUCCACUAGGAGCAAUAAAAAGACUUUAAAAAACCA